CAGCAAAAUACCCAUUAACAUACAUGACAAUUAAACUGCGCACUUCAAAAUGAGUAACCAAAACAAACAUUUAUGACAAUCAUCAUUCACACAGAAUAAACUUCUAACAGCUGUAUUCAGAACAUAUUAUUGUAAGGUAUACCAAUUUUAGUUUGUAUUGGAUUUAUUUAAGAUUUCUGGUACCAAAGGGUUUAUUUUUUCUUUUUUAAAGAAGGGAUCCCGUACGGCCAUAUAACACGUUUGACUUAAACAUUUGUAUAACACUUGCAUUAACCAGUUGCAACAUAUGUACCCUGUCAAUGGAAUUUCUCUCUUAUACGCUUAUAGAACAUUUGGACCAGAUUACACAGACAUGGUAUCACCUGCAUUUGUCAGAACUCUCAAAGACUCAAAAUAUUUAUACUACUCCAUGUUAAAGGCAUGGCAAAAUUUUGACCGGUCAAUUUGAGUUUCCAAAAGUCAUAUCAACACAGGUAAAAACCUUUGUCCAUGGUUUUCUGAUCCUACAUUCCAUGACCAAAAUUUCAAACCCACUUCUUCACAGUUUGGGUCACAAGCAAUAAAAUCUCAGCAACCCCAUACAAUAAUUUACAGAAUACAUACAAUUUAAAGCACAUACAACAUGUGACGUACUGGAAU